UACGUAGGGGGCUAGCGUUAUCCGGAAUUACUGGGCGUAAAGGGUGCGUAGGUGGUUUCUUAAGUCAGAGGUGAAAGGCUACGGCUCAACCGUAGUAAGCCUUUGAAACUGAGAAACUUGAGUGCAGGAGAGGAGAGUAGAAUUCCUAGUGUAGCGGUGAAAUGCGUAGAUAUUAGGAGGAAUACCAGUUGCGAAGGCGGCUCUCUGGACUGUAACUGACACUGAGGCACGAAAGCGUGGGGAGCAAACAGGAUUAGAUACCAUGGUAGUCCCU
rnacentral:rRNA from 1 species